UUUAUUUUUAUUUUUAAAAUUUCGAUUUUUUUUCCCAGUAUUUUAUACGACUGACUCUCUCUAAGUUUCUAACCUAUACGCAUCCUCAAAACCCAAAACCCUAACCUCUGACUUUGAGCUCUCUCUCUCUUCGCUUUGUCUUGGGUCCUGCCGUUUCCCCCUUCUCUCUUUAUUCCUCAAACCUCUCCCUUACAAGCCAUCCCCAUUCACUCAUUCGCUCUUGCUUCGCUCGCUCUUCACCGAUUUCAGCGUAUUUUUAGGCGGCCAGAUUGCUCUGAUUUCGAAGACGAAGACUAACUCAGGAAGCUGGCAAGAAGUUUGCAUUUGGGAAAAUAAUUAAGUUGAUGACAACUGUUGCCAAGGCACUUCAGGCUUGCUUUCUCCUACCAUUUUGGAUAUUUAUACAUAUUUUACUUCAUAAAUGGCAUGAGGGACAACAUAUCUGUUGUGUUCAGCUGGAUGAAAAAUUACAUUAUGAAGUUUUCAUUCACUCCGAUGCCAACAGAAGUUUUAGCUGCUAACAAGAAUAUUGCAUCACAGAAAAUAGCGAACUUGAUGACAACUGAUGCCAAGGCACUUCAGAAAACUAAACCUUAGCACCAAGCCAAGGAAGGGUGCUUACACAUCUGCUGUGAGAGGAACCUCCUUGAUUCUACACUACUUCUUUGAUAUGCUUGUCACAUCAACUGCUUUUCUACCUGUUCCAGCUCCUGAAUUUUUUUAAUCAUAGCAACAACCUCUAAGAAAAUGGGAAAGUCAGAGAGUUGAAAGGUUAGGAGUACCCACACAUUUGAUUAAUUCAGAAGUGAAGCAAACAUUUGACACCCAUUCAAAAAUUGAUGAAACAAGAAAUAACCUAUUUUCUUUCUAUAAAUGAUAAAAAGGUGAGAUUAAUCUCCAUUACAUUUGUAAAGAGGUAGAGUGCAAUGAACAGUUGUUCAAUUAAGACACAAUAUCCACUUUUGGCCUUUUGCAAUACACAAGAAUCUCAACAAAGAAAGGAAAACUUUUUAAAAAAAUUACAGAAUCAAAAUGCAUGGAAAACCUCAUUUCUGACCAUCUCACAAUUCGUCUUUGGAUAGGAUAAGAAACUCAAGGGAGCCAUCAAUCUUUUCCACCUUCAAUUUCUGUAAAGAUGUCAGUGACUAAUUAUCCACACAACUAAAACUGAGAAGCAUAGAAAGAGACACUCUUAACCCAACUAAAUGCAUCAAUUAGGAGAGCUCUCUUAAAUAGGGACUUGUAAUAAUAUUGGACUAUUGUCAGUAAACAACAUUCCUCUAGCAGAAUGCCAAUAUAAAAUUUACAUUUUCAAAUGAACAUUGGUUGGUGGGAUCUCUAAAAUGGUUUAAAGCUGCUGAUUCUAGUAUUUUUUUGUUUUUUUUUUUGUUUUUCCUAAUUUCUUUUGGCUGGGAUGGGAAAAAAAAUAAAAUAAAGGCACAUUCAACUUUACUUAAUUUUUUAAGAAAUAUAUAACCAUUCCAUAGAACCAAAUAGUGAGAAUAUCUUGUACAGUAACUUGAGGACCUAUCAUUCAUUAAUGAGCUAUACAUUUGCAAGAAGUCACAAUAUCUGCUUAGGGUGAAGUGGCUCAUUGCGUCACUAAAUUACAAAUACUAGUGAUCUUUGAUUGUCCCAAUCAGAGGUCAUGUAGUUUAGCCCAAAAGGGUCUAAGAUUGCCCAUAUUCUAUUUAUUGAGAUAAACCUUAGAUACAUCCUAUGUAAUAAAUAGGUCAAAAUCAUUUAAAAAUGGUAUGUUCUCUCUAUUUCCUUCUGUUUAGUGUUUUGGUUUGAAGUUGACUAAUUGUUCACGAUUUGUUCUCCUCUCUGCUUCUUCUUCUUCUUCUCCUUUUUUUUUUUCAGCCGUAUAUAUGUUACCAUAUUCUUUGGUUAAUGAUAUCCUAAGAGUUUUGUGACAAACCAUUAAUUCAUAUUUAACAUAUCUUACUGCGUAGCUUCUGUGUAUCUUCUACUUUUAGCUCUAUUUUAUCGUGGUUCUUCCAUGAUGGUUGAAUUUCUAUUAGCACAUCAAAUAUUUCUCAGAAAAUUCAGAAAGUCUUUUGUUUUUUAUUUUAAGGAUUUCAUUUGAAUUAUCACUUCUUAUUUUUUCAUAUUUUCUAAUAAUAUUCUACACUUAUCUACUCUU